GGGGGGCAGCAGUGAGGAAUAUUGGUCAAUGGACGCAAGUCUGAACCAGCCACGUCGCGUAAAGGAAGACGGCCCUACGGGUUGUAAACUUCUUUUGUAAGGGAAUAAAGUGAGCCACGUGUGGCUUUUUGCAUGUACCUUACGAAUAAGGAUCGGCUAACUCCGUGCCAGCAGCCGCGGUAAUACGGAGGAUCCGAGCGUUAUCCGGAUUUAUUGGGUUUAAAGGGUGCGCAGGCGGGGGAUUAAGUCGGCGGUGAAAUUUUGCAGCUCAACUGUAAAAGUGCCUUCGAAACUGGUUUCCUUGAGUGUAGAUGAAGUAGGCGGAAUUUGUGGUGUAGCGGUGAAAUGCAUAGAUAUCACGAGGAACUCCGAUUGCGCAGGCAGCUUACUAAACUACUACUGACGCUCAGGCACGAAGGCGUGGGGAUCAAACAGGAUUAGAUACCCUGGUAGUCCACGCAGUAAACGAUGAUUACUAGCUGUUUGCGAUACAAUGUAAGCGGCUGAGCGAAAGCGUUAAGUAAUCCACCUGGGGAGUACGUUCGCAAGAAUGAAACUCAAAGGAAUUGACGGGGGCCCGCACAAGCGGAGGAACAUGUGGUUUAAUUCGAUGAUACGCGAGGAACCUUACCCGGGCUUGAAAUGCAUCUGACCGGCCUUGAAAGAGGCUUUCCCUUCGGGGCAGAUGUGUAGGUGCUGCAUGGUUGUCGUCAGCUCGUGCCGUGAGGUGUCGGCUUAAGUGCCAUAACGAGCGCAACCCUCAUCAUUAGUUACCAUCAGGUCAAGCUGGGGACUCUAAUGAGACUGCCAUCGUAAGAUGUGA
rnacentral:rRNA from 1 species